GAUGAACGCUGGCGGCGUGCCUAAUACAUGCAAGUCGAGCGAACAGACGAGGAGCUUGCUCCUCUGACGUUAGCGGCGGACGGGUGAGUAACACGUGGAUAACAUACCUAUAAGACUGGGAUAACUUCGGGAAACCGGAGCUAAUACCGGAUAAUAUAUUGAACCGCAUGGUUCAAUAGUGAAAGACGGUUUUGCUGUCACUUAUAGAUGGAUCCGCGCCGCAUUAGCUUGUUGGUAAGGUAACGGCUUACCAAGGCAGCGAUGCGUAGCCGACCUGAGAGGGUGAUCGGCCGCACUGGAACUAAGACACGGUCCAGACUCCUACGGGAGGCAGCAGUAGGGAAUCUUCCGCAAUGGGCGAAAGCCUGACGGAGCAACGCCGCGUGAGUGAUGAAGGUCUUCUGAUCGUAAAACUCUGUUAUUAGGGAAGAACAAAUGUGUAAGUAACUAUGCACGUCUUGACGGUACCUAAUCAGAAAGCCACGGCUAACUACGUG
rnacentral:rRNA from 1 species